GACGAACGCUGGCGGCGUGCCUAAUACAUGCAAGUCGAGCGAACAGAUGAGAAGCUUGCUUCUCUGAUGUUAGCGGCGGACGGGUGAGUAACACGUGGGUAACCUACCUAUAAGACUGGAAUAACUCCGGGAAACCGGGGCUAAUACCGGAUAAUAUUUUGAACCGCAUGGUUCAAUAGUGAAAGACGGUUUCGGCUGUCACUUAUAGAUGGACCCGCGCCGGAUUAGCUAGUUGGUAAGGUAACGGCUUACCAAGGCGACGAUACGUAGCCGACCUGAGAGGGUGAUCGGCCACACUGGAACUGAGACACGGUCCAGACUCCUACGGGAGGCAGCAGUAGGGAAUCUUCCGCAAUGGGCGAAAGUCUGACGGAGCAACGCCGCGUGAGUGAUGAAGGUCUUCGGAUCGUAAAACUCUGUUGUUAGGGAAGAACAAAUUUGUUAGUAACUGAACAAGUCUUGACGGUACCUAACCAGAAAGCCACGGCUAACUACGUGCCAGCCGCCGCGGUAA
rnacentral:rRNA from 1 species